AUUGAACGCUGGCGGCAGGCCUAACACAUGCAAGUCGAACGAGUGGCGGACGGGUGAGUAAUGUCUGGGAAACUGCCUGAUGGAGGGGGAUAACUACUGGAAACGGUAGCUAAUACCGCAUACCAUCAGAUGUGCCAAGAUGGGAUGAGCUAGUGGGUGGGGAAACGGCUCAACAAGGCGACGAUCCCUAGCUGGUCUGAGAGGAUGACCAGCCAAACGGGAACGGGAACACGGUCCAGACUCCUACGGGAUGCAUCAGUGGGGAAUAUUACACAAUGGGCGCAAGCCUGAUGCAGCCAUGCCGGGUGUAUGAAGAAGGCCUUCGGGUUGUAAAGUACUUUCAGCGGGGAGGCGUUACCGCAGAAGAAGCACCGGCUAACUCCGUGCCAGCAGCCGCGGUAAUAC
rnacentral:rRNA from 1 species